UACGAAGGGGGCUAGCGUUGCUCGGAAUCACUGGGCGUAAAGGGUGCGUAGGCGGGUCUUUAAGUCAGGGGUGAAAUCCUGGAGCUCAACUCCAGAACUGCCUUUGAUACUGAAGAUCUUGAGUUCGGGAGAGGUGAGUGGAACUGCGAGUGUAGAGGUGACAUUCGUAGAUAUUCGCAAGAACACCAGUGGCGAAGGCGGCUCACUGGCCCGACACUGACGCUGAUGCACGAAAGCGUGGGGAGCAAACCGG
rnacentral:rRNA from 1 species